ensembl:lncRNA
GGGCCAUCCAUGUGGGAAGAGCUCGGGUCCAUAAUGAUCAAUUACUCUCAGGACAGGCUGGCAACCCACGCUGUCAAUUUUGGGUCAACCUGGCUCUGCGAUUGCUCUGGAUGGGAACCGCCUCUCAGGCUAUCCAUCUAUAAAUUGAGGAUGCAGCUACUGCAACAAUCCACAGUUCAUACCGUCAAAAGGGAAUACUCAUUAAGUCACAGACUGGGGCAUUUCAUCCAGCUGUCCAAGGGCUGAGGUCUAGUCCCAGGUCUGGACAAGAGAACUAGAGUCCAGGACAACAGGUUCGAAUCCUGGCUCUCAUAUAUUCUACCUGCGUGACCUUGAACAAAGUCACUUUAGCUUUGAGGGCUGAGUUUCUUCAUUGAUAAAAUUUGGGAUGGGAAUUAGCUCCUGUUUCGGGCUCAUUCAGCUUUUCAAAAGCUAGAUUCUGGGAGUCUCCUCAGAGCUGUAAAUGCCUGAUCAAAAAACAGCCAAACAUCGCAGAUAAGGAAACUAGGGGCUCCAGGCCCGUCCUUAGGUCCUGUUCCUCAAGCCGGCGGAAAGACCUCCGCCUCCCCUCCUACCACUGCCAAGCAGACCCCGGGGCCGCGUGUCGCAGGCCAGCAGGACUGGGCGCCCAUCAGGUGCCAGCCAGGAGAGAGACCACAGUGCCGCGUCCGCACGCCUUUGAGACCCACGUGCGCUGCUUCUUUAAAUGUCCCGGCCCUUUAACAGAUCGCACCGCGCCCACUCCGGCGGGGGCUCCGGCGGCGGGGGCUCUGGCGGCGGGGAGAACCCGGCCCCGCUGAAGGCCCGAGGCCUGGAGCCCCUCCCGCGCUCCUCCACUCGCCAGUUCCGGGCCGGCCCCCAACGCAGCGGUCCCGGCGCCCUCCCCUCCCCAGCCGCUGGGGCCGCAUCCCCGGAACCGCCCCGAGGCGCGACCCGCCGCGGCGAGGGGCGUGCGGAGGACAAGGCCCCGCCUGCGGAGUGCAGCUCCACCUCGCGCCCUUCGAACGCCGGGCGAUCGGGCCCCCAUCCGCGCGCCCCAUCCAGCCGGCUCACCUGCUCCGCCGCGCAGCUCCAGCGGUGUUUACUGGCCGAGCGCCCGGCAGACCCGGUGCCGGCGCAGGCCCCGCCCCCGGCCCGCCCCGGCCCCGCCCCGCCGGCGACGCCACGCUCCCGGGUCCAUGUCCGGCCUCACUGGAGCCCGGGCACCGCGUAGGCGAGGGGCCGGGCUUCCCUUCGAGAGCCGCGGGGACCCGGGAAUGAAUCUGCCAUUGGACUGAGCACUGACCUGAGAGGCAGUGGAGGCCGCACCUGUAAUGGAACUGGACCCCACAUGCUGCAACUAAAAGUUUGUUUGCUACAACUAAAGAUACAACGAAGAUGGAAGAUCCUGCAUGCUGCGACUAAGAUCUGACGCAGCCAAAAUAAAUAAAAGAAUGUAAGCUUCAUGUCUACCUUAAAAAAUAAUAAAUUAACAAAUCCAAAUGUUGGCUCUCUGAAAAAGAUUAAUAAAGGUGACAACCCUAGUAAGACUGAUUAAGAAGAAAAAAGAGAAAGAAAACAUAAAUUAUCAGUAUCAGCAAUGAAAGAGAAUCAUCACAGAUUCUACAGAUGUUAAAAAGAUAAUAAA